UUAUAAAUUGUCCAGUCUCAGGUAGUUCUUUAUAUCAAUGUGAGAAUGGACUAAUACAAUUAAGGAAAUUCAUCUUAUUGUAUAACUGUUAGAAAUAGUUCCCUCAGGGUCUCAGUCACUGCUGCCAGCCCAUGCACUCUGUUCUCCCACCACUCCGCCACCCCCCUCCUCUGCCUGUCACAAUGGAAGAAGAAAUCGCCGUGCUCUUCAUUGACAUUGGCUCCAGCAUGUACAAAGCUGGCUUUGCUGGGGCGAUGCUUCCCGAGCCAUGUUCCCCUCCAUUAUUGGGUGCCCCUGGCACCAUGGUGUCAUGGUGGGCAUGAGCCAGAAGGAUUCCUAUGUGGGCGAUGAGGCCCAGACCAAGCACGGCAUCCGGACCCUGAAGUACCCCAUCAAGCAUGACAUCGUCACCAAUGAGGUGGGACGACAUGGAGAAGAUCUGGCACCACACCUUCUACAACAAGCUGCACGUGGCCCCAGAGGAGUACCUUGUGCUGCUGACCAAGGCCCCCCCAGAACCCCAAGGCCAACAGAGAGAUGACUCAGAUCAUGUUUGAGAUCUUCAACACCCUGGCCAUGUACAUGGCCAUCCAAGCUGUGCUGUCCCUCUACGCCUCUGGGUGCACCACUGGCAUUGCCAUGGACUCUGGAGACGGGGUCGCCCACACGGUACCCAUCUAUGAGGGCUACGCUCUCCCCCAUGCCAUCCUGCAUCUGGACCUGGCUGGCUGGGACCUGACUGACUACUUCAUGAAGAUCCUCACCGAGUGCAGCUACCGUUUCACCACCAUGGCUGAGCAGGAGAUCGUGUGUGACAUCAAGGAGAAGCUGUGCAACGUCGCCCUGGACUUCGAGCACAAGAUGGCCACCGGCGCAUCCUCCUCCUCUCUGGAGAAGAGCUACAAGGUGCCUGAUGGCCAGGUCAUCACCAUCGGCAACGAGUGGUUCUGGUAUCCAGAGGCACUGUUUCAGCCUUCCUGGGCAUGGAAUCUUGCGGCAUCCAAGAGACCACCUUCAACUCCAUCAUGAAAUGUGACAUGGACAUCUGCAAAGAACUGUAUGCCAAAACGGUUCUGUCCAGUGGCACCACCAUGUAUCUGGGCAUUGCUGACAGGAUGCAGAAGGAGAUCACUGCCCUGGCACCCAGCUCCAUGAAGAUCAAGAUCAUCAUGUCCCCAGAGUGCAAGUACUCAGUGUGGAUUGGUGGCUCCAUCCUGGCCUCACUGUCCACCUUCCAGCAGAUGUGGAUUAGCAAGCAGGAGUAUGAUGAGUUGGGCCCCUCCAUCAUCCACCACAAAUGCUUCUAAAUGGACUGUGAGCAGAUGUGUAGCAUUUGCUGCGUGGGUUAAUUCAGAAGUAUAAAUUUGCCCUUGGCAAAUGCAUACACCUCAUGCUAGCCUCACAAAACUGGAAUAGCCUUCACAAAGAAAUUGUCCUUGAAGCUUGUAUCUGAUAUAAGCACUGGAUUGUAGAACUUGUUGCUGAUUUUGACCUUGUAUUCAAGUUAACUGUUCCCCUUGGCAUUUGUUUAAUACCCUGUACAUAUCUUUGAUUUCAACCCUUAGUACAUACAUGUGGUUUUGUCACUUCGUGGCUGAGGCAGGAACGUGCUUGUGGAAGACAAGUCUGUGGCUUGGUGAGUCUGUGUGGCCAGCAGUCUCUGAUCUGUGCAGGGUAUUAAUGUGUCAGGGCUGAGUGUUCUGGAAUUUCUCUAGAGGCUUGCAUGGGCUCCUGAACCAAUUGUUUCUGUCCUGCUGGUCUGUCAGGGUUGGAAAAGUCCAAGCCAUAGUACCCAUUUUCCUUUCUUAGCUGAUGUUUUCCUGCUAGAACACCAUGGACUGUUACUUGCCUUGAGUUGGAAGUAGUUUACAUUUAUACCUGUAAAUGUAUUUAUCCUUUUAAUUUAUGUAAGGUUUUUUUUUUGUAUGCAAUUCUGGAUUCUUUAAAGAGAUGACAAUGAAUUUUGGUUUUCUACUGUUAUGUGAGAACAUCAGUCCCCAGCAACACGUAGUAGAAAUAAAAGUGCUGCUGUUAAAAAAAAAAGAAAAAAGAAAAAAAAAAAGAAGUAUUUCCCUCAGUUUCCUGUUUGCUUUUUAGCUUUCUGUAUUAUACUUUAAAAAUAUUUUUAUUUUCCCCCAAACAAUGCAUACAGUUAUUACAAAAGUCAAAGUAUAUAAGGCUUAUUAUAAUAAAGUGGAAGUCCUUCAUCUCACUUCUACUCACUGAGUUCCUGCUUCCCAGAAACAACUGUUUUCACCUCUCUUAGCUGUUUCUCUGGCACUUACCUCCAACUUCUAAAUAAUAUGCUUUUAUUACUUUUCUUUAUUAUAUCAAUUUUAGACAUUUUCUAUUGACUUCUGUCAAUGGAUGUUGAAGAUUUAUCUCUUUUAUAAUAGUUCCUCCUUCCUUUCCCUCAUAUAUACUUAUGCCUUCUCUUGGCUCUCUAUAUGUAUUAUUUAAUUUUGGGGUAGGUCAACAUU